rnacentral:misc_RNA from 1 species
GUACAGAUGUGGGCACAUGUGCACAUGUUCAAAAUGUGCGAAUGAGUUGGUCCACAAAGGAGAAAAGUGUCCAAUGUGCAGGGCACCUGUAAUUGAGGUCAUCCGUGCUUACUCCAUCUCAUAAUAUAAUUUGAUGUUUGAAAGAAAAAUGGAGGAUCAAAAAGUUGGAAGAAAUUUGGAUUAACAAUAUAGAGGAAUUUGUCAGUUCCUGCUCCUGGAUCCGGCCAGGUAUUUAUUAUUUCCUGGGUUCUUCAAGCCAUGAAUUUUGAAAUAUUGAUUGUAUGAUUGACUAGACGAUUGGUUUUAACAUGAAUAAAGUUUUUGAAUGGAAAGAAUCAUAUUAGUAUUAGCGCCAUGAAAGUUUUUGAAAGCAACUUUGUGUUGAGAUGCUGUAAAAAGGCUUACAUGACUCGUGAUAUUUCCUGAUCCCUGACAGCUCCCACCCACAUCAAAGUGGUAUACACCGUAAUGGCUUUUUUCACCCCUGUGGAGGAUAUUAAUGUCAACAUUCUUAACUUCUUGAUUGUUUUGAGUUUACAUCUUGUAUCCCCUGAAAUUGUACUUUUCCCACUUCAUUUCUCAAUGAGUGGGAGACAUGACAUGGAUGGAAAAGGUUACACCUUUUUUCUUUUGCCAAGCCAUCACAGGACUUAAUGCCAUGAAUUUGAUAUAUUUU